rnacentral:lncRNA from 1 species
UAUUCAAACAGCUUGGGUACAACUCUCAUCUCAUUACAUCAUCUGAGGAAAUAAAAGUGACAUUUAUACAUAGCUUGAAGUAGUGGUGCAUAGUUUGCUAUAAGAAGAUAAACUCCUCCAUGUGUGUGUGUUUGUGUGCACGUGCAUGUAUGUAUACAUGUCAGUGAGUUCCCUGAUUAGGCUCUGCUGGCUGACCAGAAAGCUCCAGGAGUCCUCCUGUCUUUGCUUUCUCAGCACUGGGACCACACGCAGGCACCACCGUGUGUGCUCAUAUGAAAAGGGCUUUUCUAGUUAAGCUGUCUCCCCAACCCAAAGAAGAAAAGUGUAUGACUGUAAGGAAAGGCCAAAUGUGGAGACCUGGCUGGAGGGAAGACUAGGAAAGGAAGCUGUGGUGAAUUGUGAGGGGCUGUUUGAAUGGAGUAAAUUAUGGCAUGGGACUUGUUAUGAUAUGGUAGAUGUUGGGACCGGCCAGCUCAGAGCCCUGGAUAUGGGUCUGGGAAGCAUCUGAGCUGGUCAUUUUGCCAGCUCUUCAGUACUCACACUGCCAGGAUGAGUUCCUCAGCACUGCUCUGAUUGGAAAAGAACAGAGUCAGCUCUCCAGCUCUUAGGCCCUCCUGGCCAGCUCACCUGCUGUCUCUGCAACCAGGGCCAGCUCUACUUUGUUGCCUAGGUGAGGUGCAGGGCCUGUUUUCCCCAAUUCUGCAACUGGUGAGGACCAGCUCUCCGUAUCGAAUGACCCUGGGGACACUCUCCCCACCACCUCAGGCGGCAAGGGCAAGGAGUCAGGGAGGGCAUCUCUUGGAUAAUAAGCGUGCAUUAUUUUAUCCCUCACUGUAUUUACUGUGGUUACCCUCCAGUACGUCAAGCCUAUGCAAAGUUAUUUUUAUCAGGAGCAUUAAUUAUUGAGUCCAUUGCUUAAAUCUGUUAACUAUUAUAUGCUUCACUAAUUUCAUUUAUAUCUGUAGCAAGGUAUAAAUUUACCAAAGAAUCUAACAUUUUAACAUUACAAAGUUUGAUAAAAAGCCUGUGGUCCUUCUGCCCCGUUUUGAAGACUAGAAGCUACUAUUAAAGGAGACCUUCCUCCUUGAUAACCUCUUCCUUGUCUCUGUUCAAUCCCAAGCACCUUCUUUCUCCUUUUAAAAGGAGUCUUAACUGAGCUCCUUGUAAUGAUGCAUGCCUUUAAUCUUUUUUUUUUUUUUUUCGAGACAGGGUUUCUCUGUGUAGCCCUGGCUGUCCUGGAACUCACUUUGUAGACCAGGCUGGCCUCGAACUCAGAAAUCUGCCUGCCUCUGCCUCCCGAGUGCUGGGAUUAAAGGCGUGUGUCACCACCGCCUGGCACAUGCCUUUAAUCUUAGCACUUAGGAGGCUAAGUGUAUCUCAGACUUCAAGGUCAGCCUGGUCUACAUAGUGAGUUCCAGGAUAGCCAGAGCUACAUAGAGAUCCUGUAUUGAUUGGUGGUGGGGGUGUGUGUGUGGAGGGUUAAUAUAUUACCUGGCUGGGGUGAUGGUUCAGUGGGUAGAGCACUUGCCACACGAGCCUGACAAUCUGGGUUGCUGUUCCCCAGAACUCCCUUGAAAAGCCAGAUACAGUAAAGCAAGCGUCUAGAAUCCCAGCAUACCUCUACUAGGAGAUAGGAGGGUGAGUUGGGAGAAUUGCCAGGAGUUCUUAGGCCAGCUAACCUUGCAUACAGCAGUGAACAGGAGAGACACUGUCUUAAUCUAGGUAGAAGAGGACAGACACCUGAGGUUGCCCUUUGACCUCUGCAUAUAUGUUGUGGUCGGUGUGUGCUAAUACUCAACACACACACACACACACACACACACACACACACACACACACACACCCUACCACAUGUGCUCUUGAGUAAUUGGUUGUGUAGUUUAGUUUUGAGUGUAGCAGAGGGGUCCUCAUGGCACAGUCACCUGUGACUUGUUUUAUGCUCUCAGCCUUAUUCCUGAUGCAUUAUUCUACAGUGUAAAAUGUAGCUUGGGUUUAUCCAUUCACACUGCUGGAUUCACUGGGUAGGUGUGACUCAUCCUGUUCCCACAUUGGGUCUGUAGGGGAUUUCUGUUUUCUUUGAUUGUCUGUGGAUGUUGGCCAAGCUUUGCAGUGGCCUGUGUUUUUAUUCACAUCACUGGCACAGCCCUAGAUGACAUUUGCAAAUAGAAAUGAUAAAAGUAAUCAGUAUAUUUUUAUCCCCCAAAGAGUUUUGCUCAUGUUCAUGUUUUACCAAUAAGAAUAAUAUAUUCUAUAAUUUUCAGUGGCCAUUCUGUCAGAUUACAUAGAUUUGUUUCCAUUUCUAGUUUGAUUAUUUCAAAAUAAUAGCAGAUGGGUUUUUAAUUUUCAAGUUUUUUUUAAUCUCUGCAUCAAUCAGCUGAUGACUCCUGUGUCUUCCAGGUCUAGGUUUUGCAGGGACUAACACUUUGCUUGCAUUUAAGGACUUAAUAUUUUUUAUGGUUUUAAGUGAUGAUUUAAUUUUUGUAUAUUUAAACUUUUUCUUAGGAGUUUGUAUAUACUGUAUUUUGAUUCCAUUCUUUCUCUUCCCUUAACUCCUUCCAGACCCACCUCUCUCCCUAUCUAAUCAACGUCAUGUUUUCUCUUUCUUU